AAUGAACGCUGGCGGCAGGCCUAACACAUGCAAGUCGAGCGGGGACUUCGGUCCUAGCGGCGGACGGGUGAGUAACGCGUGGGAACAUACCCUUUGGUACGGAAUAGCCUCGGGAAACUGAGAGUAAUACCGUAUGUGCUCGAGAGAGGAAAGAUUUAUCGCCAAAGGAUUGGCCCGCGUUGGAUUAGGUAGUUGGUGGGGUAAUGGCCUACCAAGCCGACGAUCCAUAGCUGGUUUGAGAGGAUGAUCAGCCACACUGGGACUGAGACACGGCCCAGACUCCUACGGGAGGCAGCAGUGGGGAAUAUUGCGCAAUGGGCGAAAGCCUGACGCAGCGACGCCGCGUGGGUGAUGAAGGCCU
rnacentral:rRNA from 1 species